rnacentral:siRNA from 1 species
UUGAGGGGCCGCCUGUAACGC